rnacentral:rRNA from 1 species
GAUGAACGCUGGCGGCGUGCCUAAUACAUGCAAGUCGAGCGAACAGAUGAGGAGCUUGCUCCUCUGACGUUAGCGGCGGACGGGUGAGUAACACGUGGAUAACCUACCUAUAAGACUGGGAUAACUUCGGGAAACCGGAGCUAAUACCGGAUAAUAUAUUGAACCGCAUGGUUCAAUAGUGAAAGACGGUUUUGCUGUCACUUAUAGAUGGAUCCGCGCCGCAUUAGCUAGUUGGUAAGGUAACGGCUUACCAAGGCAACGAUGCGUAGCCGACCUGAGAGGGUGAUCGGCCACACUGGAACUGAGACACGGUCCAGACUCCUACGGGAGGCAGCAGUAGGGAAUCUUCCGCAAUGGGCGAAAGCUUGACGGAGCAACGCCGCGUGAGUGAUGAAGGUCUUCGGAUCGUAAAACUCUGUUAUUAGGGAAGAACAGAUGUGUAAGUAACUAUGCACGUCUUGACGGUACCUAAUCAGAAAGCCACGGCUAACUACGUG